GCUAACACUCCCAAGUAACACCCUGCCAAAUCACAAGUCACCGGUCGGAUAAUCUAUAUAUGGAUGCUAAUUAAGUUUGAUCAGAAACAGGUCAUCCACUUCAAAAUCAAAUAGUAAAAGCAAAAAAAAAAAGUACUUCUCUCAAGAAUGAGUCACCAAUUUAGAACAGAAAGCCUUUCAUCUAAAUUGAGAAAAAUAGCUCAUGGGUGGUAGGCCAAAGCUGGAGGAAAUGGCCAACAGUAUAUUUUUCCAGGAUUAAUGAAAAUCAGUGUUCUAAAACUGGUCUGCUAAUCGAUUAAACCAGCCAAAUAAAAUUUGUUGGAUAUAUUAAUCCUGUUUCUAAUUUAAUUGCUUCGGCCGAUCAAUUCGGUCCUGUUCUUAAAACGUAAGUGAAAAUAAGAUGGGAAUUAUUAAGGAAGAAGAAGAAGAAGAAGAA
rnacentral:misc_RNA from 1 species